ACCUCUAGCCAGGGACGCGCGCUCGGUCCCCCGCCGUGCGCCCCCGGUCCCGCGCCCAGGCUCCCGCCCCUGGCCUCCUUACCAGCCACUUGUCGCCCAGCUGCGAACUGGAGCGGGAGGCGGCGGCCGGAGGGCCCAGGACAGCCCCGGGAGGGCGGCGAGGCGGAGCAGGAGCGCCCCGGCUCCGGCCACAUUCUCAGAGUCAGGAAAAGGGGCGAGAGGCCACAUGUCUCCCUCUCGCCCAACUGAAAACGAAACGGCGCUCCAGCAGAUUGGGUGGAAAGAGCUGGGUCUCUUUUCUCUGUUUUUCACGCUAGAAAGGGCUUGUAAACAUUGUUCCUUUUAAAAUGACCUACCCCAGGCAUUUGUUUGGGCACACUUCUGUCCUGGGGUCAUCGUUCCUAGGUGGCUUCGGACCUGGGACUUUUCCUGUAUCUGCACAUUGUCGUUUUAUACACAAUUGCCAAGGUGGGACUGCUUUCAACUUUACUGUGCUUGAAGCUGCAAAGCGGAUCCUGUUACAGUGCAAAGAAGAAAUGGCAAACGGAUAACAGCUACUGUGCCUAGAAGAUGGUUCUGCCCUGAUGUUUCCUGGAAUAAUGCUGAGGACUGCCUUUCGGGUAGCCGCCCUAUUCAGUUCACUUCAUCUCGGAAAUACCUGACCCCUGCCUUGGAUCCAGCGGCCCUCCUGAGAGCUGAGGAAGGAGGAAAUCCUAUGUGUCUGCUCCCGGAGCUGCCACAACCCAUCUUCCCACAACUCGGAACUUGGAAAAAGGAACCCAGGACACGACUUUGCUUUUCUUUUGGACCUAGUUGAAGUCACAGCUUGGAGGAAACCAGUUUGCACUAUUUGAUGAGGAAUUUGGCCACCAAACCACUGAUACUUUCCCAAAGAUACAAGUUAACAGGAUAUGCUUCUGGCCUGUUUCUGGAUUCUAAGGGUAGAACCAGCAUAAAACUAGUCAGUCCAAGUAUUUCUAAAGAUCCACAGACACAGUUCUCCUGGAUUUGGGAAGCCUAGAGAUAUUAGCACAAUAAUUAAGGCCCAACAACUUUUAAAAGCCUUUCCACUGCACAGUGAAAGAAAACCACAAACUCCUUGUUUAAUAAGUGGGAUCACGUGCUUUUAACACGAGGAAAAGGUCAAUCUGAAGCAACUGAUAUGGAACUGCCAGAGUAGGAGUUGAAAAUCUUCCUAAACUGCUGGAGGAUACACCUCUGAUAGCUUGAGACAAAUAUCCUCUUGAUCAUUGUUUCACCAUAUUUGUCUUUGCUCAUGGAGAACCAUUUUGAUCCGUGGUUUAGCCUCCCAGGUGAUUGAACAAUACCGGUGAUCUGAGGCAGACCCUCUGUGACGGAUAACAGAAAAGAAAAUUGAGGAUCAGAAAAUACGCACAAUUUGCAAAAACCAUGGGAAAGAAUAUUGAUUGAACAUCUACUCAAGAACUGCAAAACAGAGAUUACCUGACCUAAAGGAGUCCAUUCUCAAUUUUCUGUGCAAAUUGGGGAAGGCUGUUGAUAAUCGGUGGAUGCUAUAGUGCCCAUGGAAAGACUCUAGUCUGAAGAUACCAGUCUCUCCCUCCCAAGAUCACCUCCCCUGACCAACCUUCUGCACUCCUGACAGAUACAAGGGAGCAAGCAAGUUGCACCCAACCUAAUAGUAAAUUGCAGGGACAUUUCCAUUCUAAGGAAGGAAUUUUUGUGUGUGUUGCAACUCAGCUUCUGCUCUGGCAUUUUGCUGUGCAUUUAUAUUGCCAAUCAUGUUGGAGAGUCCAUGUGGUGAUUUCUGAAAACGAGAUGUGAGAAAGAAGAGGAUAAUUUAAGUCUAGACCUACAGAUUGUGCUGAUAAAGUGAUGAAGAACUACAAUCUUCUUAGUCAUUUCAUUGUAUAAGUGCAAUAAAGGAUUUUGUGUCUUUCCUGGCAAACAACUUGUGACCACAGUGAUGGCUCCAGCAGAAUGGAAAAGACCCUUUACCUCACAUCUCAGAAGUAAAGAUGCUGAUUAUUUGACAUCGCCAUUGGAAUCUCAAAACAGUGUAAAGCAUUUGCUAAAAAGAGUCACUUUCUGAGAAAUGACUCAGAAUUCGACUUACGUACUAGCAGAACUUAUUGCCCAUAAAAGGAAAGGCCACACUUUUUGUGAAAACUUAAUAAUCCCUAGGAUGUAAAAUUAUACUGAGUUAAAUCCUAGUCCCAUUUUUAGUACAAGAAACUGGAAAAAAAUAAUCCACUCUCAAAUGGUAAGACAAAUUGAGAUAUUGCUGAAAAGCCUCUUGACCCUGAAAAGUUCUGAAUAAUAAACUGAUAAAAGCAGCAGCAGCAUCUAACUUGACACCAGUCAUGUCAUUUG
rnacentral:lncRNA from 1 species